ACCCACGCUCUGUGGACGCGCUGCACCGGGGGGAGGCUGCGCCGCCGACGCCGCUGGCCGGGGCCUUACGGGCCGCCCCGGGUCCCCUCGCUCGGCGCCCGCGCCCCCUCACCUGGGCCGCCCCUCGCCUCGGCCGCCGCCGCUGGAGCCGGCGCCCUGUCCUACGAGGGGCCUGUGCCGCGCGUGCCCGGCGGCCGGGGCUGACUCGCGGCCUCGGGGUGCAGCGCCCGCCCUCACGCGGCCCGGGGCGCCUCGCUGGCCGCAGGGGGGCUCCGGGCGCGGCCCUCACGUGGCUGCUGCAGUGGCCCCGCCCGCCGCCCCCGCCAGGCGCCUCUUCAGCUCUCAGGAACCUGCUCCGAUAUCCCUUCCUCUGGAAGCUUUGCGACGCCUCGUGGGAGGACCGCGGCUCCCUCCUCCGGAUCCGUCGGCACCACGUGCUCCAGCAUUUUGUUCUGAAAAUAACUUGGACAGAAGAGCUGAAUCAGCACAUACGUGAGCAAAGCCCUCUGACAUCACUUGACAGUCGCCUCUUCUAA
rnacentral:lncRNA from 12 species